rnacentral:rRNA from 1 species
CCUACGGGCGGCAGCAGUGAGGAAUAUUGGUCAAUGGGCGUAAGCCUGAACCAGCCAAGUCGCGUGAGGGAUGAAGGUUCUAUGGAUCGUAAACCUCUUUUAUAAGGGAAUAAAGUGCGGGACGUGUCCCGUUUUGUAUGUACCUUAUGAAUAAGGAUCGGCUAACUCCGUGCCAGCAGCCGCGGUAAUACGGAGGAUACGAGCGUUAUCCGGAUUUAUUGGGUUUAAAGGGUGCGUAGGCGGCCUAUUAAGUCAGCGGUGAAAGUCUGUGGCUCAACCAUAGAAUUGCCGUUGAAACUGGGAGGCUUGAGUAUGUUAGAGGCAGGCGGAAUGCGUGGUGUAGCGGUGAAAUGCUUAGAUAUGACGAAGAACCCCGGUGGCGAAGGCAGCCUGCUAAGCCAUGACUGACGCUGAUGCACGAAAGCGUGGGGAUCAAACAGGAUUAGAUACCCGAGUAGUC